UACGUAGGGGGCAAGCGUUGUCCGGAAUCAUUGGGCGUAAAGAGCGUGUAGGCGGCCCGGUAAGUCCGCUGUGAAAGUCCAGGGCUCAACCCUGGGAUGCCGGUGGAUACUGUCGGGCUCGAGUCCGGAAGAGGAGUGUGGAAUUCCUGGUGUAGCGGUGAAAUGCGCAGAUAUCAGGAGGAACACCGGUGCGAAGGCGGAUCUCUGGGCCAUUACUGACGCUGAGGAGCGAAAGCGUGGGGAGCGAACAGGA
rnacentral:rRNA from 1 species